UUCAACUAAUGAGGAAUAUUUCGUAAAGGCUUUUCGGCUUGGAAAUAUUCUGAACUUUCUUGUA
rfam:Drosophila ficusphila unplaced genomic scaffold scf7180000453838, whole genome shotgun sequence